GUUACUAUGGAAACAGGGCCUUUCUACUGUCAGGCCCUAACAAUAGGGUCUUGCUGAUGGCCAAUCCUCGAGCAGGACUUAAUUCCUGGUCAGCAAUGGGGUAAAGGUCUUGCUGGUGGCUAGUGUUGGGACUGGAGUCACUGGGAUGAGUGCUUCCUGUGAUGCACAUGAGACAUCACUUGCCUAGGAGGCUGCUGAUUUGGAAAAAGAUUGAAUUACUCUCAAUGGUAAGAGGAUGAGUCUCCCAUUUAUUCAUACCUCUCUACAGGACCUCAUGUGACCAAGAAGUUGUACUGGGGAAGCUAGAACCAAUCAGGUCCUGAGGACAGCUUUGUCUUUUUAGAGAAAACUAGUCUUUAAGGAUUAAGGAAAGAAGUUAGAGCAUGGGCCUAUUCCAUGAUGGAAGAUGGAGUUAAGAGGAAAAGUUGAAUCAGUUAAAUACUGACACCCUAGACAGAGUCACAAUCAAGAAAUCCAGUGGAAAACAACAGUAAAUUACUUCUCUCCCAGAACUGUAUAAAAAUCAUUGUCCACAGGCAAUGGGAAAGAGGACUUCUCCAACCAAGUUAGCAUUUUCCAGCCAACAAGAGAUUGACAGAUUGCAAUAUUCUAUAUCUGGGAGUAAGAACAAAAAUUAUCCUGAGAAAACCCUAGGAUGAGGAAGCUGUAGGAAGUGACCACUUUAGACCCAGACAGUAUAGUUCCUAGGUCUCUGAGGUUUCCUAAUGUUUUGUCCUGAGACACUAGAAAGAACCUUGAAGAGCCAAUGUUAUUAAUCUCAAAGAUCCAUGGGAAGGCUAAUUCUAGAGGCAGAGGUCAGCACAAGAACCCAUGGGACUGUGGAAUACACCAAGUAGGCCUUAACACGCACCCCAAAAUGAAAUACAGGGAAAAGCCUGAACUUAGUGCAAAACCUAGUACAAAGUACAAAGUACAAAACCCUAAAGCUAAGGAGUUGAGUAAAUCAAAGGAAAUACUAAACAGUAUUUUUUUAAUUACUGAAAAUAUAAAGAUCUUCCAAAAGGAGGAACAACUAUACCUGCAUGCAAAGUCUCUAAGUAAAACAACAACAACAACAACAACAACAACAAAAAACCAAUCUGGAUCUUCAACAAGGAUUACAUAAAUACUUAGAAGAAAUGAAACAAGAAAUAAAAAUAAAUAAACACUAUGGAAGAUAGAAUUAGAGAAAUAGUAAUCUGAUUAGGAGGAAAUUCCUAUUCCCUCCCAAAAUGGACACCUUCAAAACUAGAGUAAUUCAAACAGAGAUCACGACACAGUAAGAAAUAUUAGAACAACAUCAAAAGAUUUUAAAAAGAGAA